rnacentral:rRNA from 1 species
UACCAGCCCCCUGAGUGGUAAGGACGAUUAUUUGGCUUAAAGCGUCCGUAGCCGGCUUAGUGAGUCUCUUGUUAAAUCCAAUGAUUCAAUCAUUGAACUGCAAGAGAUACUACUAUGCUAGAGGACGGGAGAGGUCGACGGUAGUCCAAGGGUAGGGGUGAAAUCCUAUAAUCCUUGGAGGACCACCAGUGGCGAAGGCGGUCGACUAGAACGUGCCUGACGGUGAGGGACGAAAGCUGGGGGAGCGAACCGGAUUAGAUACCCGGGUAGUCCCAGCUGUAAACGAUGCGGGCUAGGUGUAGGGGCAGCUACGAGCUGCUCCUGUGCCGCAGAGAAAUUGUUAAGCCCGCCGCCUGGGGAGUACGAUCGCAAGAUUAGAAACUUAAAGGAAUUGGCGGGGGAGCACCACGAAGGGGUGAAGGCUGCGGUUU